GCUCCUCCCAGAGGCUGGGCACAUUCUGACAUCCUGACUGGGAGCUGGAGCCUUAGGGGUCCUUCUCCAGGGGAUCCCAGGAUAGCUGUGUUCCCCCAGAAAGACUCAGUUGGGUGGAGGCAGAGGAGCUGGGUGGGGGCCUGAGCUGCUGCAGCCCGCAGGUGAAGGACUGCAUGGAGCACGCAGUUCUGCCUGUGGACGGGGCAACGCUGGCAGAGGUGAUGCGCCAGCGGGGCAUCAACAUGCGCUACCUGGGCAAGGUGCUGGAGCUGGUGCUGCGGAGCCCGGCUCGCCACCAGCUGGACCAUGUCUACAAAAUCGGCGUUGGAGAACUCAUCACCCGCUCGGCCAAGCACAUCUUCAAGACGUACUUACAGGUGCCACCUGUCUGCUCUGCGGCCGGCCAUGGCCUCCCAGGGUGGUGUGGGGCGUCGGGAAAGAGCCUGAGGUGGGGCUGAGGGCUCUCAUGACUUGAAGCCAACCUGCCUCACAGGGAGUCGAACUCUCCGGCCUCUCAGCCGCCAUCAGCCACUUCCUGAACUGCUUCCUGAGUUCCUACCCGAACCCCG
rnacentral:sRNA from 1 species